CCUACGGGUGGCAGCAGUGGGGAAUAUUGCACAAUGGGCGCAAGCCUGAUGCAGCCAUGCCGCGUGUGUGAAGAAGGCCUUCGGGUUGUAAAGCACUUUCAGCGGGGAGGAAGGCGUUAAGGUUAAUAACCUUGUCGACUGACGUUACCCGCAGAAGAAGCACCGGCUAACUCCGUGCCAGCAGCCGCGGUAAUACGGAGGGUGCAAGCGUUAAUCGGAAUUACUGGGCGUAAAGCGCACGCAGGCGGUCUGUCAAGUCGGAUGUGAAAUCCCCGGGCUCAACCUGGGAACUGCAUUCGAAACUGGCAGGCUAGAGUCUUGUAGAGGGGGGUAGAAUUCCAGGUGUAGCGGUGAAAUGCGUAGAGAUCUGGAGGAAUACCGGUGGCGAAGGCGGCCCCCUGGACAAAGACUGACGCUCAGGUGCGAAAGCGUGGGGAGCAAACAGGAUUAGAUACCCGAGUAGUC
rnacentral:rRNA from 1 species